rnacentral:rRNA from 1 species
AGCAUCUACGGAUGUGAAGUCAUUGAUGCCAUGCUUCCAGGAAAAGCCUCUAAGCUUCAGAUUGUAAGGAAUCGUACCCCAAACCGACACAGGUGGUCGGGUAGAGAAUACCAAGGCGCUUGAGAGAACUCGGGUGAAGGAACUAGGCAAAAUGGUACCGUAACUUCGGGAGAAGGUACGCUCUCGACGGUGAAGUCCCUCGCGGAUGGAGCUAUUGAGAGUCGCAGAUACCAGGUGGCUGCAACUGUUUAUUAAAAACACAGCACUGUGCAAAAUCGCAAGAUGACGUAUACGGUGUGACGCCUGCCCGGUGCCGGAAGGUUAAUUGAUGGGGUUAGACUUCGGUCGAAGCUCUUGAUCGAAGCCCCGGUAAACGGCGGCCGUAACUAUAACGGUCCUAAGGUAGCGAAAUUCCUUGUCGGGUAAGUUCCGACCUGCACGAAUGGCGUAAUGAUGGCCACGCUGUCUCCACCCGAGACUCAGUGAAAUUGAAAUCGCUGUGAAGAUGCAGUGUACCCGCGGCUAGACGGAAAGACCCCGUGAACCUUUACUACAGCUUGGCACUGAACAUUGACCCUACAUGUGUAGGAUAGGUGGGAGGCUUUGAAGCGCAGUCGCUAGAUUGCGUGGAGCCGUCCUUGAAAUACCACCCUUGUAGUGUUGAUGUUCUAACGUCGACCCCUAAUCGGGGUUGCGGACAGUGCCUGGUGGGUAGUUUGACUGGGGCGGUCUCCUCCCAAAGCGUAACGGAGGAGCACGAAGGUGGGCUAAUCACGGUUGGACAUCGUGAGGUUAGUGCAAUGGCAUAAGCCCGCUUGACUGCGAGAAUGACAAUUCGAGCAGGUGCGAAAGCAGGUCAUAGUGAUCCGGUGGUUCUGAAUGGAAGGGCCAUCGCUCAACGGAUAAAAGGUACUCCGGGGAUAACAGGCUGAUACCGCCCAAGAGUUCAUAUCGACGGCGGUGUUUGGCACCUCGAUGUCGGCUCAUCACAUCCUGGGGCUGAAGUCGGUCCCAAGGGUAUGGCUGUUCGCCAUUUAAAGUGGUACGCGAGCUGGGUUUAGAACGUCGUGAGACAGUUCGGUCCCUAUCUGCCGUGGGCGUUGGAGAAUUGAAAGGGGCUGCUCCUAGUACGAGAGGACCGGAGUGGACGAACCUCUGGUGUUCGGGUUGUGUCGCCAGACGCAUUGCCCGGUAGCUAAGUUCGGGAUCGAUAACCGCUGAAAGCAUCUAAGCGGGAAGCGAGCCUUGAGAUGAGUUCUCCCUGAUACUUUAAGUAUCCUAAAGGGUUGUCGUAGACUACGACGUUGAUAGGCAGGGUGUGUAAGCGUUGUGAGGCGUUGAGCUAACCUGUACUAAUUGCCCGUGAGGCUUAACCAUACAACACCCAAGGGGUUU